UUAGAAUAGGAGGGGGCCGCGCGAACGCAGGCCCCCACAGCAACAAAUUAUGAUGUAGGUUCCACCACUUGGGUAGACCUUAGGGUAGCACCCCUCCUAAGUGCAAUGGAGGUCACUCUCCUAGGCCAUGGUCCUUCAUGAUCAACCAUUGACCCCAUCCAGGUAAGUAUGUUACAAUGAGGGUAUUCAAGUUGUUUUAUAGUCCUUCUUAUCGCAAUAACUUUCAGCUUUUUUCGGUGUGGGACUCAACUACCAGUACCCAAUGUAUUUCCCAACUUGUGUAAGAUUGAUCGAUAAAGGGUGCAUGCCGGUACUGAUUGUUGGUGGUGUAAGUUGGAGUUGGAGACAGCAGAGCACGUGUAGUAAGAGUAUUCAUACUGCUGCUAUAUAGGAACACUGGAGAGAAAAUCUGUCACAUAUUACAUGCACUAUCAAAGGUUCUUUGGCUACGUCCGUCCAUAUCUUCUGGUCUAAACUGUAUCAUCCAUUGUCUCCAAUGUACACACAUUCAACCCAUUGGCUAUGGGCUGCAGCAACUUAUCAUAUUGUCAAUGGUCACACACUAAAGCAUUUGUCUGCUGCAAUGGUUUCUCUCAUCUUAACAGUAAUGAAUGCAAAGAGUGAGGAUAUGUCCAACGCAUAGUUGGAAUUAGCUUUUUGUUUAUGGAUAUCUAUAGGAUUGUAUAGAAAUGGGGGAUUUUAGAACAUUAGUAAACAAAUUUGAGACUAGGAAUUUGGGAACAUUUUUUUGAGUGGAUUUAAUAUGAUUUUUUCU